rnacentral:rRNA from 1 species
UACGUAGGGUGCGAGCGUUGUCCGGAAUCAUUGGGCGUAAAGCGCGCGUAGGUGGCCCCAUAAGUCCGCUGUGAAAGUCAAAGGCUCAACCUUUGAAAGCCGGUGGAUACUGUGGGACUAGAGUACGGAAGAGGCGAGUGGAAUUCCUGGUGUAGCGGUGGAAUGCGCAGAUAUCAGGAGGAACACCAAUAGCGAAGGCAGCUCGCUGGGACGUUACUGACACUGAGGCGCGAAAGCGUGGGGAGCAAACAGG